rnacentral:tRNA from 1 species
AGUAAAAUGCCUGACUAAAGGGCUAUUUUGAUAGAAUAGAUAAUGUAUAAUCAAUACUUUUACUU